UUUUAGUAUAUGCAAUGAUGUUAGAUUUCAACUUCCAUCAAAUACUUUUUAUUAAUUCAAAAGAAAAGUAAGAUUUUAGUAUAUGCAAUGAUGUUAGAUUUAAACUUCCAUCAAAUACUUUUUUUUUUUGGGUGAAAAAGAAGCAUUAAUAAUUAAGCAAUAUACAAGAGUUCGAGGGCCUAGUCCGGUUCAAGUACAAAAACAUGUUGGCUAAGCGCAGAAGGAGAUACAUAAGGUGUCACAUUUCUCAUAUAGCAUGAUCCUAUUUUAUUCGCCCGAAGUUCACAGGCUACAAAAAGAGGUGGGACUUCCAAAAAGACAUGAUUAGCAAAGUGGUUGUUGUUGACUCCUUCUUUGGCCAGAGCAUCAGCUAUUCUAUUAUGUUCUCUGUAGCUGUGACGAACUGGUGGAGAACCUAUUCGUCGAAUCAGGGACCUACAAGCAUCAAGAAUGGGAUCAUACAAUAAAUGGCCCUGCUGUAAUAGGGCAAUAAUAAGCUAAGAAUCGGUGUUGAUUUCGACUGGUAACCAAUUGUAAGCAUUAACCAGAGAAAGACCCUUAAGGAGGGUUAAGAGCUCCAUAUGAGUGUUGGUAGUAUGUGGAAAUUUGGCAAAAAACCCCUAUCCAGUUCCCACUAGAAUCUCGAACCACUCCCCCAAUACCCCCUUUCCCUGGGUUACCCUUACAAGCCCCAUCAGUGUUGAGUUUGUAAUGAGUAAUGGGAGGGGGAGUCCAGCAAAGGGAUAUAGAGAGGGGAGGGGUUGGAGCAUGGUAGUUGGAUAGGGGAAGGAAUUCAAUGGCCUCAGAAUAGGCAUCCCUAAAACUGAGUCGUCCUUGGAGAUGAUUGAAGAGGUUGUUUUUGUUUUUCCAAAUAUGCCACAGACAGUAAGGCAGGAGAGUAGACCAAGGAAGGAGGUUGUCAAAGGUGGAGGCUUGAAGAAGUUUCCAGUUGCCUGACCAAUUGGAGGAUGGAACAGUUGACUCGAAAUGUUGAGAUUGCCCCUGUAGGCUUCAAUUAGAUUUGUCCAUAAGUGAAGGGCAUCAUUACAAAAGAAGAAAAUAUGGGAUAUAUCUUCGCAAGGGUGGGAAGAGGAGGCACAAGAGGUGUUGAUGUGAAUACCCUAUGUAACGAUCCUCCCGGUCGUUUGUGAAAUUUUCUUAUCCUUUCUAUUUUAGCUUUCUUCGUAGUUGGUGUACGUGAAUUUAAACUUAAGAGAGGCAUAGUAUCGAUUCGUGAGGUGUUCCAUAGUGAGUUAGUCAUUAUUUGAGUUAUUGAGUUUUAAGAAAAUUAUGUUCGAAAGUUUAUUAAUAAUUGUGGGUAUUUUAGAUAAUUAAUUUAAUUAAUAGUGAAGGGUCAAAUUAUAAUUUUUAUGUCUCCAACAACCUACGUUAAGAUUAAUUGGAGUUAAUAGGUUCAACUCUUAAACCAUAACAGAGGAAAAAAAAAAGAGAAAAGAAGAAAACGGCUAUCAAUAUUGGGCGAGGUUCAUCACCACGGUUGACAGAAAGUGUUCCAGAGGCUCAGACACGACCUCACCUCUAGAGUUGAUAGUAGAUCUUGAUCCGAAGGGUGAGUACUCCGUCUUCAGGCUGCCACGGGUCAUCUUAGUUGUUAUUGUCUAUCUUUCGGGUUGCUCUGGAAUUCAUAAUGGUACACAAUCAUUGACUUUUCUUUAUAGAAGAACAAGAACAAUGUCCUUUGGCAAACGGGAGACUGGAGAAAGAUUGUAUUUUCACUUGUUUAGAUAUCAUUGACAUGCAGCUUGUCUGUCUGUGUCAUACCAUUUGUACACUCCAAAGUAAUAUAUGACAUGAGAAUUUAACAGCAGUGACUUUUAGAAUAGUUUUAGCACAAGCUUUCAAAGCAGGCAUAAAGUCACACCCUCUUUCCGAUUGUGGAACUAAAGAUAAACAUGGUUUUUAGCUUCUUCUGUUUUCCACAUCACUUGGUGUUAUGUCAAAUCUCUAGCGCUAGCUAUGGUCAUGGUUUCCUUCAGAACUACAGAUGGUGCAAUGUCAAUCUUAUAGUGGCCUCCUAGACAGCUAAAAAAAAACCGAGUCAUAUUACCGUACAGAGAUAUUACUUGGUCUUUAUAUUACAAUUUGCCAACCCAAACACUAUAAAUCAUCACACACUAGCCUCAAAAUGAAUUUAAAAUAUACAUAAAGUAUACUCUGUAAUAAUCAGCAAUAUCUUAGUGCUGCUUUAUUGAUAGAAAAUAAGCAUCCAAAAUUUUAAAACUAAAGCUAAUUCUUUUUGGAUAACCAAGAAAUCCUAUGGGGCCAGCGAUGUACGAUCCCAAAAUUCAUGGAUAAUGGGCUUAUUCCUACCUUUCUCCACUUAAAUGCCAUAUUGUUGUUUGUGGCAGGGUUCAAAUCUAUGACAUGCGUCUAACACACACAUCACUUGUUGACGAUUACCACUAGACCAACGCACUAGGGCAAGUGGGCAACUGAUGCGAAUUCACGUGAUAACUGUAUCACAUCAAAACUAAUAAACACAUCCACGCAGAAUAUUGCACUACUUAAAAUCCAUAAUUUCCAAAUGGAAUUACUACAUUUAUCACUUUCUUCCUGAGAUAGGCGAUACAUGAUGCAAACUGGGCCACCAGUCAAACAGCAAAACCAGAACCAAAAAUCCCAAUACUCGGUGUCGGUAUUAGUGCCACUUUACAAUCAAUCUGCUAAACAGGAAUCUACACCACUAACAAAAGCAAAAUCAGGCAGGGUUAAUAAAAUAAAACGGGGAAAAGUCAGCAGUUAAGAGAUGCUUGGCAUUCCACGAACGACGCUAAAAGAUACACAAAUGGUAACAUAACUUGCUUUAGCUUCAAAGGAAAUGCACAAUGAAAGAAAGUGAUUCUUGCACAGGUGCACUGAAUAGGGAAAAGAACCUAUUCUAGUCACAGAAGGAGGUAUGGUGUAGUAUAUCUCCCCGAAAUCAUCAAUGUAACUUGAAUUUGCAAAACAAGGACAAAGAGUUUAAGAUAUAGCGGAGGGCUCCUAGCGUCAUAGAGGAAUACUGCCGGUUGCUGAGGAGAGAAGUGGCACCUCCAUCCGAAACCGGAAAGAAAGAAGAAGAAAAACAUUGGUUGGGAAGGCCGUGUAAGGCCUCUUGCUAGACGGUGGAAGCAACUUAAGCCUCUACUAAGAUCGUUAAGACUUUGAU